UGGGGGAUAUUGCACAAUGGGCGAAAGCCUGAUGCAGCGACGCCGCGUGGGGGAUGAAGGCUUUCGGGUUGUAAACCUCUUUCGCUAUCGAACAAGGCCCGCUUAGGGUGGGUUGCGGGUAGGUGGAGACGAAGCGCCGGCUAACUACGUGCCAGCAGCCGCGGUACUACGUAGGGCGCGAGCGUUGUCCGGAAUUAUUGGGCGUAAAGGGCUUGUAGGCGGCUUGUUGCGCCUGCUGUGAAAACGCGGGGCUUAACUGGGGGGGGGCAGUGGGGACGGGCAGGCUUGAGUGUGGUAGGGGUGACUGGAAUUCCAGGUGUAGCGGUGGAAUGCGGAGAUAUCUGGAGGAACACCGAUGGCGAAGGCAGGUCACUGGGCCAUUACUGACGCUGAGGAGCGAAAGCAUGGGUAGCGAACAGG
rnacentral:rRNA from 1 species